GAUGAACGCUAGCGACAGGCCUAACACAUGCAAGUCGAACGACGGGCGCACGAGUGAGUAACACGUAACCAACCUGCCAUGUGCUCGGGGAUAGCCUGUCGCAAGAACGAUUACUACCCGAAGUAAAGGAUGGGGAUGCGUUUCAUUAGGUGGUGGGUGAGGUAACGACGCACCACGCCUUCGAGGGAUAGGGGUGCUGAGAGGAAGGUCACCCACAUUGGAACUGCGACACGGUCCAAACUCGUAGGCGAGGUAGCAGUGAGGAAUAUUUGGAAAUGAGCGUUAGCCUGAACCAGCCAAGUAGCGUGAAGGAUGAAGGCUUAUUGGUCGUAAACUUCUUUGAUGUACGAAUCUGUAUUAUAUGAAUAAGGAUCGGCUAACUCCGUGCCAGCAGCCGCGGUAAUUC
rnacentral:rRNA from 1 species